ensembl:lncRNA
CUCUGGUAAAGUGAGCUUCAUCAAAUUGCAGGGUUUCCUUCCUUCCCAAUGUCCGGUUACUUCGUCUCUGAGGAGCCCGACACUCGUGCACAGUUCCUCUCAGUCCCUGUUAUACUUUCAUGUGAAGGGUAGAGAUGGAUCUCAUGCCUCCGCAGUGACCCAAGCCACAGCAGAACUCUGAAUCCUUAACCCACUGAGCCACAGGGGACCUCCAGUACAAAGUUUAAAAUGACUAACAUCAUGGAAAUUGGUUUUAAGUCGAUGUGCUGUGAAACUUACAGGUAAUAUAAGAACUUGAAUAAUGAUUCAGUUUUGCUGAAUAAAUUUGCAGUUUUCAUGUUCCUAAAACAUUUCAUUAGAGUAAUGUUAGGGUUUUUUAAAUAAUUAAACUAGUAGAAGUUUAGGAAGUUCAAAUCAAUUAUUCUCUCAGUAAGGAAACGAACUUGAUUAAAACACACAAUUGUAUUAUAUUUUACAGUGAAAAAAUACUUAGUUGAGGUUUUUUGUUUUGUUUUUUAGCCAAACAUUAAAAGAAUAUCAUUUGCCUAAGAUCUGGUUUAGUUAUUUGAAAAUGGAUUUCUUCUAUACUAGAAAUUUCUGUAAGAAGGAUUUUUUUUUUAAUCUUGCACAUUUAAAAGUUUAUUUUUUGAAUUUUAGGACUAGAUUUAUGUGAGUGUGUAGUCAUCUUGAUAAGUGUUGGGAAGGAAGAAAUUUUUCUUUCCUUCUAGGUUCUUCUGGCUGGCCUAAGAAUUAAAUUAACGUGAAUAGAGAAAAUUAAACCAAAAACUUAACAUGUACAUGGGAGAGACUCAGGAAAAUCAAUGUCCCCAAAUGUUUGAAGGAAAAUCAAUGUCCCCAAAUGUUUGAAGCCUUCACACUAAAUACAUUCUCAGAGUUCCUGCUGUGGCUCAGCAGGUUUAGAACCUGACAUAGUGUCAGUGAGGAUUCAGGUUCAAUCCCUGGCCUCACUUAGUGGGUUAAAGAUCCAGUGUUGCUGCAAGCUGUGGUAUAGGUCAUGCAGAGGUUGCAGGUGCAGCUUGGAUCGGGUGUGGCCGUGGCUGUGGCCUGCAGCUGCAGCUCUGAUUCAACCCCUAGCCCAGGAACUUCCAUAUGCCGCAGGUGCAGCUGUAACAAGAAAAUAAAUAAUAAAUACCAUUCUGAGCUAGAGACAAAAGAGAAUAUUGGGGUUGGUAGUCUGUUCUGGGAGGUCACCAGGAAGAGCACAGUGAACAAGGGUAAGAUCGUUAAGCAGAUUUAAAUCAAUGCUUUCUCUGUUGAUAACUGUCAUUAAUUGCAAAAGGGUAGGUAAUUCCGGAGUUCCCGUCACUGAGCAGCGGAAACAAAUCCAACUAGGAACCAUGAGGUUUCAGGUUCAAUCCCUGGCCUCCCUCAGUGGGUUAAGGAUCCAGCGUUG